GUCGGGGAAGAAAAUGACUGUACCCGAAUAAGAAGGUCCGGCUAACUUCGUGCCAGCAGCCGCGGUAAUACGAAGGGACCUAGCGUAGUUCGGAAUUACUGGGCUUAAAGAGUUCGUAGGUUGUUGAAAAAGUUAGUGGUGAAAUCCCAGAGCUUAACUCUGGAACUGCCAUUAAAACUUUUCAGCUAGAGUAUGAUAGAGGAAAGCAGAAUUUCUAGUGUAGAGGUGAAAUUCGUAGAUAUUAGAAAGAAUACCAAUUGCGAAGGCAGCUUUCUGGAUCAUUACUGACACUGAGGAACGAAAGCAUGGGUAGCGAAGAGGAUUAGAUACCCUCGUAGUCCAUGCCGUAAACGAUGUGUGUUAGACGUUGGAAAUUUAUUUUCAGUGUCGCAGGGAAACCGAUAAACACACCGCCUGGGGAGUACGACCGCAAGGUUAAAACUCAAAUGAAUUGACGGGGACCCGCACAAGUAGUGGAGCAUGUGGUUUAAUUCGAAGAUACGCGCAGAACCUUACCAACACUUGACAUGUUCGUCGCGACUCUAAGAGAUUAGAGUUUUCGGUUCGGCCGGACGAAACACAGGUGCUGCAUGGCUGUCGUCAGCUCGUGUCGUGAGAUGUUGGGUUAAGUCCCGCAACGAGCGCAACCCUCACUUUUAGUUGCCAUCAUUAAGUUGGGCACUCUGAAAGAACUGCCAGUGAUAAGCUGGAGGAAGGUGGGGAUGACGUCAAGUCCUCAUGGCCCUUACGUGUUGGGCUACACACGUGCUACAAUGGUAUCUACAACAGGAAGCAAGACUGCGAAGUUAAGCAAAUCCCUAAAAGAUACCUCAGUUCG
rnacentral:rRNA from 1 species